UGAAAGUGAGCUCCAGCCUAAGAGGGAGGCAGAGGCAUGGACCUGGGAGCAGUCAUGAAUGAAACACCAGAUGAGAAGCCUGGGCAUGUGAAACUAGAGAUGUCCACCCAGUCUUCUUCCAAGAGAAUGCAGCCUCUAGACCAGAAGGAUAAAGAGAAUCAGUCCUCUGAGAGUUGGGGGAACACUGGCAGGAGUUCCAAGUCCUCUCCCAAAGGCAAAGAGAACACAUGGCCAAAGUCAGAGGUUAAGGUCCCCAGUCAGAAGAAAUUUCAGCAAAGCUGGGCUGUCUCCUCAUGUGGACCAAACAAGAGAAGCAGCAAACUGAAAGAGAAGAAGAGGGACAAACCAUCUCCCUCCAGAGAAAGAGGAAGGGACAAGCUAGUGUCCACCCACAGAAGAGAUAUCUCGCACACAAAACUGCAUGUUAGGGACCAAAGGCCCCAGCCAAGAUCUCCUGUGAGAACUCUGAAGCGAAGUCGCGGGGGAGACAGCCCAGAUGCACCCUACCACUCUGCCAAGAGGUGCAGAAAGCCUUCUCUUCCGGAAGCCAGCUUAGACCUGACAUUCUCGCAGCUGAUGUCCAGAGUCUUCACCAAUCUGAGUGCCUUGCAGGUGACCCUGGAUGACCUACAGGCCCCUGGAGGUGCCUUCCUGCAUGUGCCCUCGAGCAGCCUAGAGCCCACUGUCUCUCAGCGUGCCUGGCUCACUUGGCAACUGUAUCAUGCAGGAGCCACAGUGCACUGGGCGCUUCAAACAGUCAAUUCUAUCUUGAACUCACAGGCCAGCCUGCCCAGACAUACCUGCCCUCAAGGCUAUUCCUUCACUGCUGACCCUAGGACUGUGCCCACUUCCUCUCUUCUCAGAAGACCCAGGUCAGCCAGCUGGCACAGAAAGCGGGGAACUUAUCAUUUCCCAACCUGGGAUGAUCACAGUAGGCCAUAGAGACCAGGAUGCAGGCCUUGUGUCCAGUGAGCAUCAAACCAUCUGCCACUCUAUAGGAACUCAACCUCAGUGCAAGUGUCUCUCCAGUCAAUGUCAUAGGACCUCACAGUGAAGUAAACCUGGGAAGACUCUCUGGGGAACUUGGACGGAUAACACUUUUCACUGAUGUGGACCCUUCUACCUUCCCUUUAGAUGUGCGUCAUUUGAGAAAAGACUGACUCUUAGAAUUCAAUUAGCCAAUUGAGCUUGGGUAUUUUCCCCUCUUGGAAAUGGUCUCUUUUGCCAUCUGAGCAUUGAAAGUGGCCUUGUAUGGUACAGGCCACCACAACACAUUGACCUGGUGUUCUCAGGGUCAAGAUCCUGUCCUUGUGUAUGUUAGUAGUCCAGGGCCCCAGUUGCACAGAACUUUCUAGGCUCUGGGCAGCCUGUGCUCCUUUUUUUGAGUUUGAACUCACAUUCUUUCUUUCUACUGAGCACUCUGGCACUGCCUGGAAUCCGGACUUUAUAUAAGGUUAGCAAGCUGGACUAGAACCUCUUCUAGUUUUGGCAUGUUGAUGAACUUAGAACAUAGCUCACCAUUCAGUAGACUUACUCUGCCACUGUCAGUCCAUUUAGUCCUCUAAAUCUAUG